AGCUCCAGUAGCGUAUAUUAAAGUUGUUGCAGUUAAAAAGCUCGUAGUUGGAUUUCUGACAAAGCGGGGCGGCCCGUGCUCUUAAUGGGUGCUGUGUGCCGUGUCGUGUUUGUCAUCCUUCCAGAGAGCUACGUCUACCAUUCAUUUGGCCGGACGUACGCGAUCUGGAUCGAUUACUUUGAAAAAAUUAGAGUGUUUAAAGCAGGCUUAUGCUGUGAAUACAUUAGCAUGGAAUAAUAAUUUAGGACUUCGGUCCUAUUUUGUUGGUUUCUAGGACAGAAGUAAUGAUUGAUAGGGACAGUUGGGGGUGCUAGUAUUCCGCGGCCAGAGGUGAAAUUCUUGGAUUCGCGGAAGACUAACUACUGCGAAAGCAUUCACCAAGGAUGUCUUCU
rnacentral:rRNA from 1 species